rnacentral:rRNA from 1 species
UCGAGGGAAGAGCUUUCGGGCUUCGACCGGCGUACGGGUGCGUAACGCGUAUACAAUCUGCCUUUCACAUAGGGAUAGCCCGAAGAAAUUUGGAUUAAUACCUAAUGGUAUAUAGGAGUGGCAUCACAUUUAUAUUAAAGCUGAGGCGGUGAAAGAUGAGUAUGCGUUCUAUUAGCUAGUUGGAGAGGUAACGGCUCCCCAAGGCUACGAUAGAUAGGGGUUCUGAGAGGGAUAUCCCCCACACUGGUACUGAGAUACGGACCAGACUCCUACGGGAGGCAGCAGUGAGGAAUAUUGGACAAUGGUCGGAAGACUGAUCCAGCCAUGCCGCGUGCAGGAAGACGGCCUUAUGGGUUGUAAACUGCUUUUGCAGGGGAAGAAUAAGGAGUACGUGUACUUUGAUGACGGUACUCUGCGAAUAAGCACCGGCUAACUCCGUGCCAGCAGCCGCGGUAAUACGGAGGGUGCAAGCGUUAUCCGGAUUUAUUGGGUUUAAAGGGUCCGUAGGCGGGCUGAUAAGUCAGUGGUGAAAUCCUGCAGCUUAACUGUAGAACUGCCAUUGAUACUGUUAGUCUUGAAUGGUUGUGAAGUAGUUGGAAUGUGUAGUGUAGCGGUGAAAUGCUUAGAUAUUACACAGAACACCGAUAGCGAAGGCAUAUUACUAACAGUUAAUUGACGCUGAUGGACGAAAGCGUGGGGAGCGAACAGGAUU